CCCAGCCUGUGCUGGUGCCCUGGGAAUGUGGCUGCCCUGAUGCUGCUCCGUGCCCUGUCCCCAUUGCCGUGGAGAGCUGACAUCCCUGAGGUGUAACCUGCACACAGGAUUUGUUCCUGCACCCACCACUGAUGGAGAUUUCUGGAAGAGAGCAAAUGGUUGUGAAUAUGAUAACAGCUUUGCAAGACUUCCACAAACUAUGAAUGCAUGAUAACAUCUGCAUAAAUUAUUCAAGCUAAUCAGCAUGGGGGAUAUUUCCCCGGCAAUUUCGUAUGGGCUCCUGAAGCUUGAUUGUCCCUCCCGCUGGGUGUGCUCCACCUCCUGCAGUACCAAGGGAAGGUCCUGAGCAUCCCAGGUCUCCCAGCUCCUCCUUAAGACUGCAAACUGUUCUCCCUCCUGCCUGGAUGUGCUUCCCCCCAGCUCCCAGCACUAUUAACACCUCUAAUUAGAGCUUCUUAUUGAUGUAGUGCUGUUUGUCUAACUGCAGCUGAUGAAGGCAGAGGAGCCAUCAAGCCUAAAUGAAUCACACCUUCCCACCUCGCAGCACAGCAGCCUGCACACCCAUCACCGUGCUCCUCAGGGCUGGGGGGGCAAGGAGAAAAGAAGCCAGGUGUUUGGAGGGGGAUGCUCCCUCCUCUGGCGAGAAGCAAUGUCUUGUUAUUUACUGAUGCUGGAGGAGAUGUAUCAAUCCUCACGGAUGCCAAGCACAGCCCCGCUGCUCCUCGUUUUGCUGGUUCUGACUUGCUCCUCUUGGUUUUGGAAAUGCAGAAGAGACAGGCUCCGAGACAGCUUUGACGUGGGGAAAUGUGGGAAGAUGUGGGGAAUGUGCCAGCAGCUCUUCCCUUGUGUGUAAGGAAAUGUUAGGGGAAGAAGCCCAAACCAUCACACCCUGAGGAAUGCCUGUUCUUGGUCAGCUUCCCAUCCCUGCCAGGCCCCUCUGGGCCACACAGAUGCUGCUGCAUGUUCCUCAUGGUGCCCCUUUCUGGAUGCCCAUCGUUCCGGGGGGAUCCUGAGCCUGAAGGAAGGGGAAUUCCUCUAGGAUUGGAACAAACGCCCUCUGAGGCUGGCUGAGGUCUCAUCUCUAAUGGACAUGUCUGGGUCGUAAUCCAUGGCUGGGUCCAAACCCAGGGACAUCCCACUGUGUGCCAUGUCACAGCUGUCCCACUGUAUUGGGGUCUUACUGGGGUAGCUUCAGCAUGCCCCAGUCUCUGUGGGGUUGGGAUGGAGGGCUGGUAUCAAACCAAGUGUUGAGAUCCUUCACAGACCCUCUUAGCUGAUGGAUCAGCAGCAUUUUAGGGAGUUGCUCUGUGGUUUUAGUGCUCUUUUACUCAACUGCUUCUCACCCUGAUUGCCUCCGUCCAUCUCCUCUCAUCAAGGUCCUCAGGAGCUGCCUAAUUGACUUCAAAGGGAACAGGACUUGCUUGACAAUGAGUUCUGCAUUCCUCAGCCCCCGUGGCAGAGCACUUGAUGAUCCCAGCACCAGCUCCCGCAGCACUUCAUCUUCACUGGUUUGUCUAUAGAAGAACAAUAGAAAGAAAACCGAAAGAAAAUAGUGCAAAAAAUUCCAUUCCAUUACGUGAUCAAUAUUCCUUUGUCUCCGUAUUCAAGUUUUGAACCCUGCUGAGGAGGAACAAGUGGAACUGCCUCGUUGGAGAUGAGAAGUUGAUCUUUAAAGCCAAUAAAGAUUUAGGAUGGUGUAA